rnacentral:rRNA from 1 species
UAACGAAUCUUCCGCAAUGCGCGAAAGCGUGACGGGGCAAUGCCGCGUGGUGGAUGAAGCCCUUCGGGGUGUAAACACCUGUCAGGGUUCAGGAACACAAUGACCAGACCCAAAGGAAGAGCCGGCUAACUCUGUGCCAGCAGCCGCGGUAAUACAGAGGGCUCGAGCGUUAAUCGGAAUCACUGGGCUUAAAGCGUGCGUAGGCGGAUGCAUAGGCACCUUGUGAAAUACCUCGGCUCAACCGGGGAAUUGCUUGGUGAACCAUGCAUCUUGAGGCAGGUAGGGGUGGCUGGAACGAUAGGUGGAGCGGUGAAAUGCGUAGAUAUCUAUCGGAACGCCAAAGGAGAAGUCAGGCCACUGGGCCUGUCCUGACGCUGAGGCACGAAAGCGUGGGGAGCAAACGGG